ACGAACGCUGGCGGCACGCUUAACACAUGCAAGUCGAACGAGAGAAGAGAAGCUUGCUUUUCUGAUCUAGUGGCGGACGGGUGAGUAACACGUGAGCAAUCUGCCUUUCAGAGGGGGAUACCGAUUGGAAACGAUCGUUAAUACCGCAUAACAUAAUUGAACCGCAUGAUUUGAUUAUCAAAGAUUUAUCGCUGAAAGAUGAGCUCGCGUCUGAUUAGCUAGUUGGUAAGGUAACGGCUUACCAAGGCGACGAUCAGUAGCCGGACUGAGAGGUUGAUCGGCCACAUUGGGACUGAGACACGGCCCAGACUCCUACGGGAGGCAGCAGUGGGGAAUAUUGCACAAUGGAGGAAACUCUGAUGCAGCGAUGCCGCGUGAGGGAAGAAGGUUUUAGGAUUGUAAACCUCUGUCUUCAGGGACGAAAAAUGACGGUACCUGAGGAGGAAGCUCCGGCUAACUACGUGCCAGCAGCCGCGGUAAUACGUAGGGAGCGAGCGUUGUCCGGAAUUACUGGGUGUAAAGGGAGCGUAGGCGGGAUCGCAAGUCAGAUGUGAAAACUAUGGGCUUAACCCAUAAACUGCAUUUGAAACUGUGGUUCUUGAGUGAAGUAGAGGUAAGCGGAAUUCCUAGUGUAGCGGUGAAAUGCGUAGAUAUUAGGAGGAACAUCAGUGGCGAAGGCGGCUUACUGGGCUUUAACUGACGCUGAGGCUCGAAAGCGUGGGGAGCAAACAGGAUUAGAUACCCUGGUAGUCCACGCCGUAAACGAUGAUUACUAGGUGUGGGGGGACUGACCCCUUCCGUGCCGCAGCAAACGCAAUAUGUAAUCCACCUGGGGAGUACGACCGCAAGGUUGAAACUCAAAGGAAUUGACGGGGGCCCGCACAAGCAGUGGAGUAUGUGGAUUAAUUCGAAGCAACGCGAAGAACCUUACCAGGUCUUGACAUCGUAUGCAUAGCUCAGAGAUGAGUGAAAUCUCUUCGGAGACAUAUAGACAGGUGGUGCAUGGUUGUCGUCAGCUCGUGUCGUGAGAUGUUGGGUUAAGUCCCGCAACGAGCGCAACCCUUACUGUUAGUUGCUACGCAAGAGCACUCUAGCAGGACUGCCGUUGACAAAACGGAGGAAGGUGGGGAUGACGUCAAAUCAUCAUGCCCCUUAUGACCUGGGCCUCACACGUACUACAAUGGCUGUCAACAGAGGGAAGCAAAGCCGCGAGGUGGAGCAAACCCCUAAAAGCAGUCUUAGUUCGGAUUGUAGGCUGCAACCCGCCUACAUGAAGUCGGAAUUGCUAGUAAUCGCAGAUCAGCAUGCUGCGGUGAAUACGUUCCCGGGCCUUGUACACACCGCCCGUCACGCCAUGGGAGUCGGUAACACCCGAAGCCUGUAGUCUAACCGCAAGGAGGACGCAGUCGAAGGUGGGAUUGAUGACUGGGGUG
rnacentral:rRNA from 1 species